UGAGUGGAAACAGGUCCAUGGUGAGA
rnacentral:piRNA from 1 species